rnacentral:ncRNA from 1 species
UCCGAUAAGGGCAAAUCCCGAGUGAUCGGGAGGCGCAAAGCCACGGGUCUUGGUUCUCUUAAGAAAGCCGGGCUGCCGAAG